rnacentral:rRNA from 1 species
GUGAGUAACACGUGAGUAACCUGCCCUUAACUUCGGGAUAAGCCUGGGAAACCGGGUCUAAUACCGGAUACGACCUCCUGGCGCAUGCCAUGGUGGUGGAAAGCUUUAGCGGUUUUGGAUGGACUCGCGGCCUAUCAGCUUGUUGGUUGGGGUAAUGGCCCACCAAGGCGACGACGGGUAGCCGGCCUGAGAGGGUGACCGGCCACACUGGGACUGAGACACGGCCCAGACUCCUACGGGAGGCAGCAGUGGGGAAUAUUGCACAAUGGGCGAAAGCCUGAUGCAGCGACGCCGCGUGAGGGAUGACGGCCUUCGGGUUGUAAACCUCUUUCAGCAGGGAAGAAGCGAAAGUGACGGUACCUGCAGAAGAAGCGCCGGCUAACUACGUGCCAGCAGCCGCGGUAAUACGUAGGGCGCAAGCGUUAUCCGGAAUUAUUGGGCGUAAAGAGCUCGUAGGCGGUUUGUCGCGUCUGCUGUGAAAGCCCGGGGCUCAACCCCGGGUCUGCAGUGGGUACGGGCAGACUAGAGUGCAGUAGGGGAGACUGGAAUUCCUGGUGUAGCGGUGAAAUGCGCAGAUAUCAGGAGGAACACCGAUGGCGAAGGCAGGUCUCUGGGCUGUAACUGACGCUGAGGAGCGAAAGCAUGGGGAGCGAACAGGAUUAGAUACCCUGGUAGUCCAUGCCGUAAACGUUGGGCACUAGGUGUGGGGGACAUUCCACGUUUUCCGCGCCGUAGCUAACGCA